GUCGAGAAUAAUUCACAAUGGACGAAAGUCUGAUGGUGCAACGCCGCGUGGAGGAUGAAGGUCUUCGGAUUGUAAACUCCUGUCAUCGGGGAGUAAGACCUGGCGGUAAAUAGCCGACAGGGUUGAUAGUACCCGAAGAGGAAGGGACGGCUAACUUCGUGCCAGCAGCCGCGGUAAUACGAAGGUCCCAAGCGUUGUUCGGAAUCACUGGGCGUAAAGGGAGCGUAGGCGGCGUGGUAAGUCAGAUGUGAAAUCCCGGGGCUCAACCUCGGAACUGCAUCCGAUACUGCCAUGCUUGAGGGCUGGAGAGGUAACUGGAAUUCUCGGUGUAGCAGUGAAAUGCGUGGAUAUCGAGAGGAACACUCGUGGCGAAGGCGAGUUACUGGACAGCAUCUGACGCUGAGGCACGAAGGCCAGGGGAGCGAAAGGGAUUAGAAACCCCAGUAGC
rnacentral:rRNA from 1 species